GGGGCCGAACUGGAUUCGACCGGACAGGGAACGUGCGGCCGCCGCGCGUCGAGGAGCAUGCCGGCCUCGUAAAAAGCAUGCAAAAUUGUAACUGGCGAGCGUUCCUACGCUCUCGCGGCCUAACCGCCGUGACGAUCUCCGCUCAACGCCUGCUAGGGCGGGGAUCGACGACAGCAGGCUGGCUUCACGCCGCCGCCCGCGGGGUGUGAAGUGAGAAACCUCCGGGGGCUGGGCUUCGCCGAAGAUCGCGGGUGUUCGUCGGCGGGGCCGAGAUCAAACCGCCCGAUACACGCGUAGACGCACCGCGCCGACUGUCACGGGACGGGGGUUCGAUUCCCCCCGGCUCCA
rnacentral:tmRNA from 1 species